CCUGCCUCAAAGAGGGGGACAACAGUUGGAAACGACUGCUAAUACCGCAUAAGCCCACGACCCGGCAUCGGGUUGAGGGAAAAGGAGUAAUCCGCUUUGAGAUGGCCUCGCGUCCGAUUAGCUAGUUGGUGAGGUAACGGCCCACCAAGGCGACGAUCGGUAGCCGGACUGAGAGGUUGAACGGCCACAUUGGGACUGAGACACGGCCCAGACUCCUACGGGAGGCAGCAGUGGGGAAUAUUGCACAAUGGGGGAAACCCUGAUGCAGCGACGCCGCGUGGAGGAAGAAGGUCUUCGGAUUGUAAACUCCUGUUGUUGGGGAAGAUAAUGACGGUACCCAACAAGGAAGUGACGGCUAACUACGUGCCAGCAGCCGCGGUAAAACGUAGGUCACAAGCGUUGUCCGGAAUUACUGGGUGUAAAGGGAGCGCAGGCGGGAAGACAAGUUGGAAGUGAAAUCCAUGGGCUCAACCCAUGAACUGCUUUCAAAACUGUUUUUCUUGAGUAGUGCAGAGGUAGGCGGAAUUCCCGGUGUAGCGGUGGAAUGCGUAGAUAUCGGGAGGAACACCAGUGGCGAAGGCGGCCUACUGGGCACCAACUGACGCUGAGGCUCGAAAGUGUGGGUAGCAAACAGGAUUAGAUACCCUGGUAGUCCACACCGUAAACGAUGAUUACUAGGUGUUGGAGGAUUGACCCCUUCAGUGCCGCAGUUAACACAAUAAGUAAUCCACCUGGGGAGUACGACCGCA
rnacentral:rRNA from 1 species